rnacentral:lncRNA from 1 species
AGCCUAAGGAUCAGUCUGACUGAUCUGGAGCUUGGUGCACACCUUACCUAGAGUUGCAAGCUUCUUAGAAGAGUGUAAGUGUGGGGUUGGGCCUGGUACUAUGACUGCUUUCAUGUUGAAGAGCUGCACAAAAUUGAAGAUCAGACAUUUCCCCCAUCAUCAUCAUCAUUAUCAUUGAGAAAUCAAAACAACAGCUUCAAUGUGGUUUGAGCCUUAUGGUUUUCAAAGUAUUUUCAUAUGCAUACUCUCUUUUAGAACUACUUGGCUUCGUAGAUAGAGUGGGUCCACAGUUAAGGAAAGUGGUUGAGGGUUAAGUGGAAAGUUGGAAAAACUGAAUAGAUUUCAAACAUUUUAAUCAUAAUCCACGAUAAAAAUAUGUAUUUUAUAUUAUGAUCCAGAUUAUC